GGAUCCGAACCGGCGAACCCCGGGCCGCCAAGAAGUGGAACGUGCAAACUUGACUGCUGCGCCACCGGGCCGGCCCACCUUGGCUUAUUCUUGACAUCAGUAGGUUUGUCCUCUGUUUUUCUCUGUCCUGAGGUUGACAGUGAGCUGUCUUGGAGGAUAGGCCCAUGUUGUAUUCUCUCUCUUCACUGGCACCUGUCGGCCUCCUGGUCUCCUUCCACCUUUGAUGUUAACUGGCUAAUGCUGUGGUUCGUUUCCUGUUAUUUGCAACUUUGGAAUUAAACGCAUAAAUGAAGUCAAAGCAAAUGAAAGGCCAAGGAAAUGAAAGUGCCAAUGUUCCACAAAGCAGAAAAAGUACCUAAUUUGAUGAAGAAAUCAUGCUGAUUCACCGGAAGAAAAUGGUCUUCAGCGUAAUCAACUAAACAUUUGUGUGUAAGUGUUUUUAAAAUUAAGUUGCAUUAAAAAAUCAAAUUCCUUUAUAGACAAAGUCAUGUAAUGGUGUGAUCCACAAUUUAAAAUGUAUUCUAAGAAUUUCUGACUUACGUGCUGGUUAGAAAACACAAAAGUCACAACCAUUUAACAUUUUGGGAUAGAGUGAUUGGAGUUGGAAGUGGAAAGAGAAGUCAUUGGGACAUUUUAAGAACAAAGCAAUGCCAGGCCAUAGAUACUACUUUUUACUUUUUGAGAGUCUGCAUUUUUUGGUGAACUAUUUAUAUUUUUGCUUUAACCCAAUUAGAAUGUUGCAUAACUUUAACACAGUGUCAAAGGUUUGUUUUGUUUUGUUUCAAUAACUACUUUGUCAGCUGAUUAUUUAGUUCACCUCACAGUCUUCCAAAUUACUUUUGAAAUUAUAGCUUGUAAUUCUUGCAAUAUAUCUUUAUCACUUUGCUCCCCUUACACCCAUGACUUUUUCUACGAGAGUUACUAGAAAGCAAAAUACUAGAAUUCCCAGCCUCCCUUACCGCUAAGGAUUGCCUUCUGACACAUUCUGGUCAAUGAAGUGUAGGUGGAAGUGUUUGGAGAUGGCUUUCUUCAGAACUAAAAACAAGGCCAAGUUAUAUGAGGAUAGCCUGUGUAUUUUUCCCUCUACCUCACCCCUUUCCCUGAGUAGCAAAUGGACACAUUGCUGGGAGGUGCCAGAAAGGACAUUUAAACUCAUUGCUGAGGAAGGUAGCUAAUUUAAUUAGGUGAAGGGGAAUGGAGAUCUUCAAAGAAGGAUGGUACCAUGGCACAAAAGUAUAUUUAAUAAAGAAUGAUUGUAGGACUGGAUAUCUGACAUGUCUAUCUUGAAAUCGUCAAAAGCCUUCUCAGUGGAUGAGAGACUGGCUAUUCCAGCCCCAGUGGCAGAAUUAAGCCCACAAUUGGGUGAAUGGAAACAACAAAGAGAUAGCUUUUGACUCCAAGCUAGCUGAACUUUUUCACAAAUGGAACUUUCCACCAGUGCUUUGAGCGGCAAUGUAGGUAGUAAUUUCCCCGUCAAUGAAUGUGUUCCAGCAGAUGCUGACUGACACCCACCCAGGAACAGUAGAAGCAGAGCUCUGCAUUAAUGCAGUCAUGGUACUAUUUCAAUUUCAUUCAAACAUUUUUGCUCAAAUAUACCCUAAAAGAAUUUUGAACAACUGUGCACCCCCUCACACAUUUUAUUUUGCCUUUUAAAAAUUUAAUUUUAAAAUUUUCCCUUGAUUUCAAAUUGAUGUCUUAUAUUUAUAAAAUCAGAGGUUAAAUAGCUGUAAAGACUAUGAUUUCUAGUGCACUGUACAUUAUGCACAUACUUUAAAUCUAUUUUUAUUGCUUCAGAAUCUUGGCACAGCUCAUUUAGCUUAUUGAGUUAAUGGAAAGUGCCUACCCUAUAACCUAAUGGCAAACCCAGUCUUCACUGUUAAACCAAUCAGCCAAAUCAGACUAACUUUUAAAGAAUUGUGCAAAAUGUUAGCCUUCUCCCUGCUCACCAAACAGUGGUGGACCUAAAACUGACAUGAUUCUUGCCCUCAUGGAGCUUGGGCCCUAACCGAGAGACAGAUCUCAAUCAAAGAAUUUCACAAAUGAACAGCAAAUCACAAUUGGGAAGAGUGCAAUGAAAGAGAUGUUAGUGGAAUGUAUAAUAGGAGAUAGGUCAGUGGUCUGGGAGGGCUUCCCUGAGGAAGUGACGUUUAAGUCAACAGCUGAAUGAAGGGGAAUAGAAAUCUUCAAAGAAAAUCUGACUUCAUUUUUCAUUUUGAAUAAACAUGAAAUAUUAUCUUACUUCUAAUGCUUAAAGCAGUUUGUCACGUGGAUAAAAUAAGUCACCAUUCCUAUCCAUAUUUUUUCUUACCAAAGCUCUCUUUUUUUCUCUCUUGAGAGAGAAAAUUGUCCCAAGUCUAGUCUGGGAUAGAACUUUUAUGUCUGAUGUAAUUUGCAGUCUCAUCUGGGAGGUAAUCAACAACCCUGAUCAAAUGCUUGAGCAAUCUCUCUGUGGAAAGUUAUGGUUUCCCCACAGCUGGCUGACUGCUGACACUCUUUAACCAGCAGUUCCUUUAUUGUACUGCUUACAUCUCUACCAAGAGAGGAUCUUUGAAUUGGCUUGUUCAGGAGCCUCUUUGUGGAGUUUGAAAUAAAACCUUGGUUUGUGCUCCUAAGCAAUCUGAGAAGCUGGUGAAGGGGAGCAGAAUAUGUCAACCCCAAGUAUGCCUUUUUGGCAAAAGGAUUAUCUUGAGCUGGUUAUUUUUAAGAAACAGCAGACACAGGAGAAGCUCUGAAAACACAGUCGGUUACCCUUUUGUAAGAGAUAUUUACAUUUAUGAGGCAAAUCUUCAUUUCUAAGGAUGUACUCCCCCUUUGUACCAGGAAGAGGGAGAUGACUAAAUCUCUAGUAACUCUUACCAGUGAAGAAGGCAGGACUUAAAUCUGCGUAACAACCUUACCCUUGUUUACUGUGCUUUUCCUGGUCACCUCCCAUAACUGGCCUCCA